UACGUAGGGUGCAAGCGUUGUCCGGAAUUAUUGGGCGUAAAGAGCUCGUAGGCGGUUUGUCGCGUCUGCUGUGAAAACUCAGGGCUUAACCCUGGAAUGCCGGUGGAUACUGUCGGGCUAGAGUCCGGAAGGGGCGAGUGGAAUUCCUGGUGUAGCGGUGAAAUGCGCAGAUAUCAGGAGGAACACCGAUGGCGAAGGCAGGUCUCUGGGCCACUACUGACGCUGAGAAGCGAAAGCAUGGGGAGCGAACAGG
rnacentral:rRNA from 1 species